rnacentral:rRNA from 1 species
UACGUAGGGUGCGAGCGUUGUCCGGAAUUAUUGGGCGUAAAGAGCUUGUAGGCGGUUUGUCGCGUCUGCUGUGAAAUCUCAAGGCUCAACCUUGAGCUUGCAGUGGGUACGGGCAGACUGGAGUGUGGUAGGGGAGAAUGGAAUUCCCGGUGUAGCGGUGAAAUGCGUAGAUAUCAAGUGGAACACCAGUGGCGAAGGCGAGUCCCUGGACAACUCCUGACACUGAGGCACGAAAGCUAGGGGAGCAAACAGG